rnacentral:rRNA from 1 species
UGGGGAAUCUUGCGCAAUGGGCGAAAGCCUGACGCAGCCAUGCCGCGUGGAUGAUGAAGGUCUUAGGAUUGUAAAAUCCUUUCACCGGUGAAGAUAAUGACUGUAGCCGGAGAAGAAGCCCCGGCUAACUUCGUGCCAGCAGCCGCGGUAAUACGAAGGGGGCUAGCGUUGCUCGGAAUUACUGGGCGUAAAGGGAGCGUAGGCGGACAUUUAAGUCAGGGGUGAAAUCCCGAGGCUCAACCUCGGAACUGCCUUUGAUACUGGGUGUCUUGAGUGUGAGAGAGGUAUGUGGAACUCCGAGUGUAGAGGUGAAAUUUCGUAGAUAUUCGGAAGAACACCAGUGGCGAAGGCGACAUACUGGCUCAUUACUGACGCUGAGGCUCGAAAGCGUGGGGAGCAAACAGGAUUAGAUACCCUGGUAGUCCACGCCGUAAACGAUGAUUGCUAGUUGUCGGGAAGCUUGCUUUUCGGUGACGCAGCUAACGCAUUAAGCAAUCCGCCUGGGGAGUACGGUCGCAAGAUUAAAACUCAAAGGAAUUGACGGGGUCAUAGCUGUUUCCUG